GACGAACGCUGGCGGCGUGCUUAACACAUGCAAGUCGAACGGUGAAAGCGGCGCUUGCUCCGCUGGAUCAGAGGCGAACGGGCGAGUAACACGUGGGUAACCUGCCCCAGACUUCGGAGUAACUCCUCGAAAGAGGUGCUAAUACCGCAUACGAAGCCCCCAGGCCUCUGGGGGCUUGGAAACUUUUUCGGGCUGGGAUGGGCCCGCGGCCUAUCAGCUUGUUGGGGAGGUGACGGCUCACCAAGGCGACGACGGGUAGCCGGCCUGAGAGGGUGACAGGCCACACUGGGACUGAGACACGGCCCAGACUCCUACGGGAGGCAGCAGUGGGGAAUAUUGCGCAAUGGGCGAAAGCCUGACGCAGCAACGCCGCGUGAGGGAUGACGGCCUUCGGGUUGUAAACCUCUUUCAGCAGGGAAGAAGCGAAAGUGACGGUACCUGCAGAAGAAGCACCGGCUAACUACGUGCCAGCCGCCGCGGUAA
rnacentral:rRNA from 1 species